rnacentral:rRNA from 1 species
AUUGAACGCUGGCGGCAGGCCUAACACAUGCAAGUCGAGCGAGCGGCGGACGGGUGAGUAAUGUCUGGGGAACUGCCCGAUAGAGGGGGAUAACUACUGGAAACGGUGGCUAAUACCGCAUACUAUCGGAUGUACCCAGAUGGGAUUAGCUAGUAGGUGGGGUAAAGGCUCACCUAGGCGACGAUCUCUAGCUGGUCUGAGAGGAUGACCAGCCACACUGGAACUGAGAAACGGCCCAGACUCCUACGUGAGGCAGCAGUGGGGAAUAUUGCACAAUGGGCGCAAGCCUGAUGCAGCCAUGCGGCGUGUGUGAAGAAGGCCUUCGGGUUGUAAAGUACUUUCAGCGAGGAGGCGUUACUCGCAGAAGAAGCACCGGCUAACUCCGUGCCAGCAGCCGCGGUAAUUC